rnacentral:lncRNA from 1 species
CUGUUCAUAUCCUUCGCCCACUUUUUGAUGGGGUUGUUUGAUUUUUUCUUGUAAAUUUGUUUAAUUUCUUUGUAGAUUCUGGAUAUUAGCCCUUUGUCAGAUGGCUAGAUUGCAAAACUUUUCUCCCAUUCUGUAGGUUGCCUGUUCACUCUGACGGUAGUUUCUUUUGCUGUGCAGAAGCUCUUUAGUUUAAUUAGAUCUGCAGGGGGGUUAUAUUAAGUGUAUAUUCAAAUUCUAGAUCUGUGGGUUCUUGCAAAGUUCAUAUUUGUAGUAAACCAUAAAUUGCAAAUGUCAUUAAACAUAUAUUCAAUUAGAGAAAUAAUUAAAUUGUUAACCAUGAAUUUUGGCAGUUUUCCAACUAUGGUCAGCAAAAACAGCUGAUUUAAUCAAUUGUGAUUAUAGAUCAAAAGAUGCAUGACCAAAGCUUUUACAUGUGUGACUGAAUGAGAAAGCAUAUUUUUAUUCACUGAAAAUAAAAUUCCUUUUAGGGAAGGAACAGUCCUUACUUAGGAAAAUAAAGAUAUGCAAAUUUUAGGUCACUUGGAGUUGGAAAGAAAAACACCAGGAAUUGAAGAAGAUUUAACAAAAAUACUAGAGUGACAUUACUCUCUCUCUCUCUCUCUAUAUAUAUAUAUAUAGGAUGAUAAGCCAGCAUUUUGAAUCUUGAAAGUAGCAAUGAGAAGGGAAAGAGAGAGAUGGAGUCAAAUAACAUGGAAAGAACCCGGAACCAGAAUGGCCAGAAUUGUCUAAAAGACUUAAAAAAAAACAAAGAUAACAAAGGGCAGUAAUUAUUAUAAUAGUACUGUUAAAGACGAUGAAGACUUACAGACAUGGAGACAAAGAAGAAUUGAAGUGGAUAUGAGCAAAAUAAAUAUCUUUUCCUCCUACUUAUCCAGAAUUCUCAAAAGUGUUUUUCUGGUAUUGGUGAUAGGUUUAUGCUGGCCUAAUAAAAUGAGUUGUCAAGUGUCAAGCCUUGUCGACUUUCUUAAAGAGAUAUUAAUUAUUUUGACAAGCAGCAGGGAAAUGCCAUGAAUAUGUGAACUGAUGAAAACAAAAGCAAUGAUACUUCCAAGGAUGCACCUGACAGCUCUUAAGGGAUCUAGAGAAAUGAGAGAAUUACAGAGAAGAUUUCAAGUGUUUUACUAAUAAACUCAGGUACUGAAUUUAAAGGAAUGCCCGUGGCUUCUACCCUAGAAGAUCUUAAGAGUCUGAAUGGAGGAAGAAAAGCUAAAAAGUAAUGAUAGUGGCAUGUGAGGAAGGUAUAUAAUAGAGGAAGCCAUGUAAACACUAAAGUGCCUCUAUUCCUGUGAAAUAUUCAGAAGAUUAUAUUUGGUUUGUGUCUGAAAGCCCUGUGGCUGUGUGUCACCAAAAAUGGUGUAAAAGGUGGUAGUGCAUCCCGGACAGAGGGGAUAGCAUGGACAAAGACUCCAAGUCAUUAGACUUUUAGUUUGUUGGAAGAACUGGAAGGAAUUUAGUAGGCCCAAGUCAUAGUCGGUGCUUGCCGGUCAACACACCUGCUUUUUCCUUCCUGAAAUUCUCAUGCAAGCUAAUCUCAUCAGCCAAAUUGUUCAACUCCAGAGGUCUAGAGACCUGCUACUCCUACAAAUCCUCCUUUAAAAAUUAUUUUAACUGAUGAAUAAUAGUGUAUAUUUAUGGGGUACAAUGUGAUAUUUUCAUAGAAAUAUACAAUGUGGAAUGACUAAAUCAAGUGAAUUCACAUAUCCAUUACCUAAUUUAUUUACAUGGUGGCACAUUUAAAAUUUACUCUUAGCAAUUUUGAAAUAUACAAUUCAUUAUAAACUAUACUCACCAUGCUGUGUAAAAGAUAUCAAAGACUUAUUCCUCCUGUCUAACUGAAACUUUGUAUCCUUUGAUCACCAUCUCCCCAGUCUUCCAUUUACUCUCUCCCUGACCCUCUGGUAGCCACCAUUCAAUUACUACUUCUAUGAGUUUGACAUUUUUAGAUGUUUGUCUUUCUGUGCCUGGUUUAUUUCACUUAGCAUAAUGUUCUUUGGGUUCUUCCAUGUUGUUGCAAAUGGCAGGAUUUCCUUUAAGGCUGAAUAGUAUUUCAUUUUGUAUAUACUAUUAAUAUAUGCCACAUUUUCUUUAUCCAUUCACCUAUUGAUACACACUUAGGUUGAUAUUGGCUAUUGCAAAUAAUAUCCCAAUGAACAUGGAGGUACAGAUAUCGCUUUGAUUUAUUAAUUUUAAUUUUUUGAUACAUAUCCAGAACUGGGAUUGUUGGAUCAAAUGGUAAUUUAUUUUUAGUUUUUUGAUGAACCUCCAUACUGCUUUCCAUAAUGUACUAAUUUACAUUCCCACCAAUAGUACCAGGGUUCUCUUUUCUCCACAUACUCACUAACACUUGUUAUCGUUUGUAUUUUGAUAAUAGGUAUUCUAAUAGGUGUGAGGUGUAUCUCGUUGUGGUUUUAAUUUGCAUUUCCCUGAUGAGUAGUAACAUGGAGCAUUUUUUCAUGGACCUGUUGGCCAUUUGUAUAUAUUCUUUUGAGCAAUGUCUAUUCAAGUCCUUUGCCCUUUUAAAAAUUUGAUUAUUUGUCUUAUUUGCUAUUCAAUUGUUUGAGUUCCUUAUGUAUUUUGGAUAUUAACCCCUUAUCAGAUAUAUAUGGUUCGCAAAUAUCUUCUCUCACUCUCUGAUUAUUCACCUUUUUAAUUGCUUCCUCUGCUGUGCAGAAGACUUUUAGUUUCAUAUAUUCCCAUUAAUCUAUUUUUGCUUUUGUUACCUGUGCUUUUAACAUCAUAUCCAAAAUAUAAUUGCUCAGAUCAAUGUUGUAGAACUUUCCCCUAUGAUUUCUUCUAGCAGUUUUACAGUUUCAGGUCUUAUAUUUAAGUUUUUAAAUAUAUUCAAGGUUUUACAUAUAUUCACCGCAAUCAAGUGAGAUUAACCCCUGGGAUUAAACCCAUUUUCAGUUGAUUUUUAUGUAUUGUAUGAAAUAUGAACCUAAUUUCACUCUUUUGCAUAUAGAUACACAGUUUUCUCAACUGGAUCCAGUUUUCUCAUUAAUUGGAGUCUGUCCUUUCCCUAUUAUGUAUUCUUGGAACUUUUAUAAAAAAAUCAAUUGUCAUAAAUGCAUGGGUUUAUUUUUGUACUGUCUAUCCUGUUCCAUUGGUUGAUGUGUCUAUUUUUAUGCAGUACCAUGCUGUUUUAAUUACUGCAACUUUGUAGAAUAUUUUGAUGUCAGGUAAGUAUGAUGCCUCAAGCUUUGUUUUGAUUUGUUUUUUGCUCAAGACUGCUUUGGAUAUUAAGGGUCUUUUGUGGUUCUAUAUGGAUAUUAGAAUUUUUUUUCUAUUUCCAUGAAAAUAAUUACAUUUUAAUAAGGAUUGCAUUGAAUCUGUACAUUGCUUUGGGUAGUAGGGACAUUUUAAUAAUAUUAACUCUUUAAUUCAUGAACACAUGAUAUUUUCCCACUUAUUGGUAUUUUCUUCACUUUCUUUCAUAAGUGUUUUAUUGUUUCUAGUACACAGAUCUUUACCUUCUUGGUUAAAUUUGCACCUAAGUAUUUUUGUUGUUACUGUUGCUGUUGUAAAUGAAAUUGUUUUCUUGAUUUCUUUCUCAGAUAGUUCAUUGUUAUUGUAUAGAUACGCAACUGAUUUUUGUACGUUGAUUUUGUAUCCUGCAACUUUACUGAGUUUGUUUAUUACUUCUAACUGUUUUGGGGUACAGUCUUUAGGAUUUUGUAUAUAUAUAAGUUUAUGUCAGCAAGCAGCGGCAACUUCACUUCUUCCUUUCUUAUUAGGAUCCCCUUUAUUUAUUUUUAUCAUGCUUAAUUCUCUG